UGAGGAAUAUUGGUCAAUGGGCGCAAGCCUGAACCAGCCAUCCCGCGUGAAGGAAGAAUGCGCUACGCGUUGUAAACUUCUUUUCCAGGGGGAGAAUUUUCCUGUCGAGACAGGGAUUGACGGUACCCUGGGAAUAAGCAUCGGCUAACUCCGUGCCAGCAGCCGCGGUAAUACGGAGGAUGCGAGCGUUAUCCGGAUUUAUUGGGUUUAAAGGGUGCGUAGGCGGAUUGAUAAGUCAGUGGUGAAAUUCUGCAGCUUAACUGUAGAGUUGCAGUUGAUACUGUUAGGCUUGAGUGUGGUCAAGGCAGGCGGAAUGUGUAAUGUAGCGGUGAAAUGCUGAGAUAUUACGCAGAACAACGAUUGCGAAGGCAGCGUGAUGGGUCAGUACUGACG
rnacentral:rRNA from 1 species